rnacentral:rRNA from 1 species
GACGGAAGGUGCAAGCGUUGCUCGGAAUCACUGGGCGUAAAGGGUGCGUAGGCGGCCGUGCAAGUCUGGCGUGAAAGCCCCGGGCUCAGCCCGGGAAGUGCGCUCGAAACUGCGCGGCUCGAGUGCCGGAGGGGAGAGUGGAAUUCCUGGUGUAGCGGUGAAAUGCGUAGAUAUCAGGAGGAACACCGGUGGCGAAGGCGGAUUUCUGGACCAGUUCUGACACUGAUGAGCGAAAGCCAGGGGAGCAAACAGG